rnacentral:rRNA from 1 species
UACAGAGGGUGCGAGCGUUAAUCGGAAUUACUGGGCGUAAAGCGCGCGUAGGCGGCUUUGCAAGUCGAGUGUGAAAUCCCCAGGCUUAACCUGGGAACUGCAUUCGAGACUGCAUAGCUAGAGUAUGGGAGAGGGAAGUGGAAUUCCCAGUGUAGAGGUGAAAUUCGUAGAUAUUGGGAAGAACACCGAUGGCGAAGGCAGCCAUCUGGACCGACACUGACGCUGAGGCGCGAAAAGCGUGGGGAGCAAACAGG